UAGGGAAUAUUGCGCAAUGGGCGAAAGCCUGACGCAGCAACGCCGCGUGAAGGAUGAAGGCCUUCGGGUCGUAAACUUCUGUCAGAUGGGAAGAAGGUUUGUAGGUUAAGAGCUAGUGAACUUGACGGUACCAUCAGAGGAAGUCCCGGCUAACUCCGUGCCAGCAGCCGCGGUAAUACGGAGGGGACAAGCGUUAUUCGGAAUUACUGGGCGUAAAGCGCACGUAGGCGGACCAGAAAGUUGGGGGUGAAAUCCCGGGGCUCAACCCCGGAACUGCCUCCAAAAGCUAUUGGGUCUAGAGUUCGAGAGAAGGUGAGUGGAAUUCCAAGUGUAGAGGUGAAAAUUCGUAGAUAUUUGGAGGAACACCAGUGGCGAAGGCGGCUCACUGGCUCGAUACUGACGCUGAGGUGCGAAAGCGUGGGG
rnacentral:rRNA from 1 species